AUUGAACGCUGGCGGCAGGCCUAACACAUGCAAGUCGAACGCGUGGCGGACGGGUGAGUCAUGUCUGGGAAACUGCCUGAUGGCGGGGGAUAACUACUGGAAACGGUAGCUAAUACCGCAUACCAUCGGAUGUGCCCAUCUUGGAUUCGCUAGUAGGUGGGGUAACGGCUCACCUAGGCGACGAUCCCUAGCUGGUCUGAGAGGAUGACCAGCCAAACUGGAACUGAGACACGGUCCAGACGCCUACGGGAGGCAGCAGUGGGGAAUAGUGCACAAGGGGCGCAAGCCUGAUGCAGCCAUGCCGCGUGUAUGAAGAAGGCCUUCGGGUUGUAAAGGACUUUCAGCGGGGAGGCGUUACCCGCAGAAGAAGCACCGGCUAACUCCGUGCCAGCAGCCGCGGUAAUUC
rnacentral:rRNA from 1 species